rnacentral:rRNA from 1 species
UCAGAUUGAACGCUGGCGGCAGGCCUAACACAUGCAAGUCGAACGGUAACAGGAAGCAGCUUGCUGCUUCGCUGACGAGUGGCGGACGGGUGAGUAAUGUCUGGGAAACUGCCUGAUGGAGGGGGAUAACUACUGGAAACGGUAGCUAAUACCGCAUAACGUCGCAAGACCAAAGAGGGGGACCUUCGGGCCUCUUGCCAUCGGAUGUGCCCAGAUGGGAUUAGCUAGUAGGUGGGGUAACGGCUCACCUAGGCGACGAUCCCUAGCUGGUCUGAGAGGAUGACCAGCCACACUGGAACUGAGACACGGUCCAGACUCCUACGGGAGGCAGCAGUGGGGAAUAUUGCACAAUGGGCGCAAGCCUGAUGCAGCCAUGCCGCGUGUAUGAAGAAGGCCUUCGGGUUGUAAAGUACUUUCAGCGGGGAGGAAGGGAGUAAAGUUAAUACCUUUGCUCAUUGACGUUACCCGCAGAAGAAGCACCGGCUAACUCCGUGCCAGCAGCCGCGGUAAUACGGAGGGUGCAAGCGUUAAUCGGAAUUACUGGGCGUAAAGCGCACGCAGGCGGUUUGUUAAGUCAGAUGUGAAAUCCCCGGGCUCAACCUGGGAACUGCAUCUGAUACUGGCAAGCUUGAGUCUCGUAGAGGGGGGUAGAAUUCCAGGUGUAGCGGUGAAAUGCGUAGAGAUCUGGAGGAAUACCGGUGGCGAAGGCGGCCCCCUGGACGAAGACUGACGCUCAGGUGCGAAAGCGUGGGGAGCAAACAGGAUAAUA